GACGAACGCUGGCGGCGUGCUUAACACAUGCAAGUCGAGCGGGAAACUUCGGUUUCCAGCGGCGGACGGGUGAGUAACACGUGGGCAACCUGCCUCACAAUGAGGGAUAGCCUUCCGAAAGGAAGAUUAAUACCUCAUAACACAAGAGAAACGCAUGUUUCUCUUGCCAAAGAAUUUCGUUGUGAGAUGGGCCCGCGGCGCAUUAGCUUGUUGGUGAGGUAACGGCUCACCAAGGCUUCGAUGCGUAGCCGACCUGAGAGGGUGAUCGGCCACAUUGGAACUGAGACACGGUCCAGACUCCUACGGGAGGCAGCAGUGGGGAAUAUUGCACAAUGGAGGAAACUCUGAUACAGCAACGCCGCGUGAGUGAUGAAGGUCUUCGGAUUGUAAAGCUCUGUCUUCUGGGACGAUAAUGACGGUACCAGAGGAGGAAGCCACGGCUAACUACGUGCCAGCAGCCGCGGUAA
rnacentral:rRNA from 1 species